rnacentral:rRNA from 1 species
UACAGAGGGGGCAAGCGUUAUUCGGAAUUAUUGGACGUAAAGGGCGCGUAGGCGGCUUGGCAAGUGGAAGGUGAAAUCCCUCGGCUUAACCGAGGAACUGCCCUCCAAACUGCUUCGCUUGAGACCGGGAGAGGUGAGUGGAAUUCCCAGUGUAGCGGUGAAAUGCGUAGAUAUUGGGAGGAACACCAGUGGCGAAGGCGGCUCACUGGACCGGUACUGACGCUGAUGCGCGAAAGCGUGGGGAGCAAACGGG